UACGGAGGGUGCGAGCGUUGUCCGGAAUCAUUGGGCGUAAAGGGCGCGUAGGUGGCCCGGUCAGCGUGCGGUGAAAGCUCGGGGCUCAACCCCGAGUCGGCCGUGCGAACUGCUGGGCUUGAGCACUGUAGAGGCAGGCGGAAUUCCGGGUGUAGCGGUGGAAUGCGUAGAGAUCCGGAAGAACACCGGUGGCGAAGGCGGCCUG
rnacentral:rRNA from 1 species